rnacentral:rRNA from 1 species
AGGGUGUAAACGCUGCAGACUUGGUGUUGGGAACCCUUCGGGGGUGCUCAGUGCCGGAGAGAAGUUGUUAAGUCUGCUACUUGGGGAGUACGUCCGCAAGGAUGAAACUUAAAGGAAUUGGCGGGGGAGCACCGCAACGGGAGGAGCGUGCGGUUUAAUUGGAUUCAACGCCGAAAAACUCACCAGCAGCGACUGUUACAUGAAAGUCGAGUUGAAGACUCUGCUAGAUUUUCAGAGAGGAGGUGCAUGGCGUCAGUGACU